rnacentral:misc_RNA from 1 species
UUGUGGAGGAGGACGCCGAAGGUGGGGCUAAUGACUGGGGUGAAGUCGUAACAAGGUAGCCGUACCGGAAGGUGCGGCUGGAUCACCUCCUAACAGGGAGACAACAAAAUGUUUAAUAUUAUUAUUUUGUCACCUUAGGUCGAUCGGUAUCUCACGUUCUUAAUUAAUUAAGAAUUUCAAUUUCUAAGUUUUUCUAGGUCACACCCAUUAUUUUUCCUGGGCCAUUAACUCAGGUGGUUAGAGCGCACCCCUGAUAAGGGUAAGGUCCCUGGUUCAAGUCCAGGAUGGCCCAUAUCUCUAUGUUGGGGGUAUAGCUCAGUUGGUAGAGCGCCUGCUUUGCAAGCAGGAUGUCAGCGGUUCGAGUCCGCUUACCUCCACUGAUUACCACCUCUUCCAUAAUUUAUAGAAGGGAAAUGUUUUGAGUUGUGAUCAAAUUCUGAACGAAUCUAGCUUCCUAAUGAAAUUAUUAAGAUGCUGGACUCAUUGAAUUAAUUUCAUUGUUUUCAGAGAACCUUGACAACUGCAUAGAUUAUUUUUUAAAGACAAUAAGCAUCUUUAGUGAUGCAGAUUUAUUAUUUGUGCGAAUGCAUUAAUAACAAUUCUAUUAAGCUGAUGCUUCAAUUUUGAAGUUAUUGGUCAAGCUACAA